rnacentral:misc_RNA from 1 species
GGGCAAGGAAUUGAGGGAGGCACCUGCCCCACUUGGUUAUCACUGAGCGUAAGAGAACCAGUCCCACGUGAUCAUCCUUGAAAUUGUUUUGAAUAUGGACUUCUGACUUUAUAAAUUUGAGAUAAACUUAGAUAAUAUUUCCCUUGUAUAUGUUGAAUGCCACAAACUAUCUGAGUAUGGAUUAAUUUGCAAAAUUGUAUGUAGAUUUUGUGAGUAAUAAAAGAUGAGUAAUGC